rnacentral:rRNA from 1 species
UACGGAGGGUGCGAGCGUUGUCCGGAAUCACUGGGCGUAAAGGGCGCGUAGGUGGCUCGGGCAGUCAACGGUGAAAGUUCGGGGCUCAACCCUGAAUCGGCCGUCGAUACUCCCGUGCUUGAGCACUGUAGAGGCAGAUGGAAUUCCGGGUGUAGCGGUGGAAUGCGUAGAGAUCCGGAAGAACACCGGUGGCGAAGGCGGUCUGCUGGGCAGUAGCUGACACUGAGGCGCGACAGCGUGGGGAGCGAACAGG